CACGUAGGAGACGAGCGUUAUCCGGAUUUACUGGGCGUAAAGCGCGUGCAGGCGGUUCGGCAAGUUGGAUGUGAAAGCUCCCGGCUUAACUGGGAGAGGUCGUUCAAUACUACCGGACUUGAGAGUGGUAGAGGGAGGUGGAAUUCCGGGUGUAGUGGUGAAAUGCGUAGAUAUCCGGAGGAACACCAGAGGCGAAGGCGACCUCCUGGGUCGCACCUGACGCUCAGAUGCGAAAGCUAGGGGAGCGAACGGGAUUAGAUACCCCGGUAGUCC
rnacentral:rRNA from 1 species